rnacentral:rRNA from 1 species
AUGGCGGCGUCCAAGCCUUGCGUCCUCGUCGUGCCCUUCCCCGCGCAGGGCCACACGGUGGCGCUCCUCGACCUGGCGGCCCUGCUGGCCGCGCGCGGGCUCCGCCUCACCGUCGUCACCACACCCGCCAAUGCCUACCUGCUCUCGCCUCUCCUCGCCGCUCACCCCGACAUGGUCCGGCCCCUCACGCUCCCCUUCCCCUCCCACCCUUCUCUCCCCGCGGGCCUCGAGAGCUUCCAGGACUGCCCUCCCACCUACGCCGCCGUCUUCGUCCACGCUCUCGCCGCCCUCCACCACCCCAUCCUCGCGUGGGCCAAGUCGCACCCCGUCGCCGCCAUCCUGUCCGAUUUCUUCUGCGGGUGGACGCAGCCUCUCGCUGCCGAGCUUGGCGUCCCGAGGCUGGUCUUCACGCCUUCCGGCGUCCUCGGCACCGCCGUCCCGCAUUCGCUCUUCCGCCGACUCGUCAAGCAGCGACCGUCAGACGCCGACCACGUCGUUGCCUUCCCGGAUAUUCCUGGCGAGCCGGUGUAUCAGUGGAAGGAGCUCUCCAUCAUGUACAGGAUGUACGCCGAAGGCCUCGUGGAUGAAGAGUUCGGCGGGGCAGUGAGGCGGAACUAUCUCUGGAACCUCGAGAGCUGGGGAUUCGUGUCCAACACGUUCCGUGCCCUCGAGGGGAGGUACCUGGACACGCCGCUCGGUGACCUGGGGUCAAGGCGCGUGUGGGCGGUGGGACCGGUCGCGUCGGAGGCAGACGCCGCCGGCCAGCGCGGCGGGGAGGCGGCCGUCGCGGCCGGCGAUCUCAGCGCGUAGCUGGACGUGUUCCCGGAAGGUUCAGUCCUGUACGUGAGCUUCGGCAGCCUGGUGGUGCUGACCCAGCCAGCGGCCGCGGCGCUGGCCGAAGCGCUGGAGCGGAGCACCGUCCCGUUCGUGUGGGUGGUGGGCGCCGGGAACGACGGCGGCUUGGUCCCACAAGGUUUCGAGGCGCGCGUGGCGGCGGCGGGGCGCGGGGUGGUAGUUCACGGGUGGGCGCCCCAGGUGGCGACGCUGCGGCACGCGGCGGUGGGGUGGUUCAUGACGCACUGCGGGUGGAACUCGGUGCUGGAGGCGGUGGCUGCGGGGGUGCCCAUGCUGGCGUGGCCGAUGACGGCCGACCAGUUCGUGAACGCGCGGCUGCUCGUGGAGGAAGCGGGCGUCGCCGUGCGCGCGUGCGCGGGCGGGAUCGGCGUCUGCCCGGACGCGGGCGAGCUCGCGGCCGUACUGGCGGACGCUGCCGGGGAGGGAGGGCGCGAAGUGCGCGCACGUGCCAAGGAGCUGGCGGCGCAAGCGGCGGCCGCGGUGAUGGAAGGUGAGAGCUCGCGCCUGGACUUGGAGCGGUUGGUUCAAGAGAUUCCGAAGCUUUGA